rnacentral:rRNA from 1 species
UACGUAGGUGGCAAGCGUUGUCCGGAUUUAUUGGGUUUAAAGGGUGCGUAGGCGGUCUUAUAAGUCAGUGCUGAAAUAUCCCGGCUUAACCGGGAGGGUGGCAUUGAUACUGCAAGACUUGAGUAGAGUUGAGGUUGGCGGAAUUGACGGUGUAGCGGUGAAAUGCUUAGAUAUCGUCAAGAACACCGAUAGUGAAGACAGCUAACUAAGCUCAAACUGACGCUGAGGCACGAAAGUGUGGGGAUCAAACAGG